UCCGAAAACCAAUAGAAUUUA
rnacentral:piRNA from 1 species